CCUUCAUGUUAGUGAAUUUUCUCUUCGGCCAGGAGAAGUCUCAGAUGUGUAUGACAGUGCAAGGUGCUUUAGGUCAGCGAGAUUAAAGCCAUCUUUCUGAUUUCAUUCUCCAUUUGAUGUCGACAGUUUCCAGCCAGGAAGGCUUGUGAAGAUCAACAUCAUCAAAGUAUGAAACUCACAUGGAGAAGUACCUCCUGCAAAUCAACUGGAGCACAUACUGUCAGUGUGUCACUGUAGAGCACUGGUGUUACUGUUCCUCUCCCAACUUCUUCUUCUCAGAGCUGUGCUUCAAAGUACAUCUUGCUGUUGUUGCGAGAAGGAGCAGACCGCCUGAAGCUAUCGUCCAUCAUUGGUCUUUAAUCAUCUGGGAACAUUGUAUCUGUUCGAGCAAAAGAGGAUGACAUGGCAAUGCCUCAGGCUAUCAAUUACUUUAUAACCUGAGAAAGGAUGGACAUCUGGGACAAUAAGUUACUAAAUGAGUUUACAGCCUGGGAAAGGAAGACAUGCCAGUAGAAUUUGAUAAUAAAUAUUCAUCGUCUGAAGAGUGACAUAGGAGGGAUGACGAAGAAGGGACGAAAACAUCAGGAGAAGGGAACAGAGCAACGUCAGAAGUGGGUGCUGGCAACAUGCGUCCGUUUCCAUCUGAUUGUCAGAAAACCGUCUAUUGAACAACUACAAGUGCCAGAUCACAAGCUGCCUGCGACAUUCAUCCUUGUCAUCUUUAACGUUUUGUAAGCUUUUUCU